rnacentral:lncRNA from 1 species
AUAUCCAGAUUGGAGAACUCUCGCACCGGCUUAUUGUCAAAACUGGUGACAUCAGCCCCGUCUGAAUUGCUACAAAGAGCCUUCUUCAAGACACUGAGUAAACCAUGCACGGAGGAGCCGAUAGCGAUAAUGCAAAUGGAUGAAGAGCCCUGCUGGAUGGACUCCCUAAUCAGUUAUCUCAGAGACAGAACUUUGCCAGC